UACAGAGGGGGCAAGCGUUGUUCGGAUUUACUGGGCGUAAAGGGCGCGUAGGCGGCGUGACAAGUCACUUGUGAAAUCUCCGGGCUUAACUCGGAACGGUCAAGUGAUACUGUCGUGCUAGAGUACAGAAGGGGCAACUGGAAUUCUCGGUGUAGCGGUGAAAUGCGUAGAUAUCAGGAGGAACACCGGUGGCGAAGGCGGGACUCUGGGCCGAUACUGACGCUGAGGAGCGAAAGCGUGGGGAGCGAACAGG
rnacentral:rRNA from 1 species